CAGCAGCCGCGGGAAUACGGAGGAUGCGAGCGUUAUCCGGAUUUAUUGGGUUUAAAGGGUGCGUAGGUGGUUUUUUAAGUCAGCGGUGAAAGUUUGUGGCUCAACCAUAAAAUUGCCGUUGAAACUGGGGAACUUGAGUAUAUUUGAGGUAGGCGGAAUGCGUGGUGUAGCGGUGAAAUGCAUAGAUAUCACGCAGAACUCCGAUUGCGAAGGCAGCUUACUAAACUAUAACUGACACUGAAGCACGAAAGCGUGGGGAUCAAACAGGAUUAGAUACCCUGGUAGUCCACGCAGUAAACGAUGAUUACUAGCUGUUUGCGAUACACAGUAAGCGGCACAGCGAAAGCGUUAAGUAAUCCACCUGGGGAGUACGCCGGCAACGGUGAAACUCAAAGGAAUUGACGGGGGCCCGCACAAGCGGAGGAACAUGUGGUUUAAUUCGAUGAUACGCGAGGAACCUUACCCGGGUUUGAACGCAUUCGGACCGACUGUGAAAGCAGUCUUUCAGCAAUGACCGUUUGCGAGGUGCUGCAUGGUUGUCGUCAGCUCGUGCCGUGAGGUGUCGGCUUAAGUGCCAUAACGAGCGCAACCCUUAUCACUAGUUACUAACAGGUCAUGCUGAGGACUCUAGUGAGACUGCCAGCGUAAGCUGUGAGGAAGGUGGGGAUGACGUCAAAUCAGCACGGCCCUUACAUCCGGGGCGACACACGUGUUACAAUGGUGGGGACAAAGGGCAGCUACACAGCGAUGUGAUGCUAAUCUCCAAACCCCAUCUCAGUUCGGAUCGAAGUCUGCAACCCGACUUCGUGAAGCUGGAUUCGCUAGUAAUCGCGCAUCAGCCAUGGCGCGGUGAAUACGUUCCCGGGCCUUGUACACACCGCCCGUCAAGCCAUGGGAGUUGGGGGUACCUAAAAUCCGUAACCGUAAGGAUCGGCCUAGGGUAAAACCGAUGACUGGGGCUAAA
rnacentral:rRNA from 1 species